rfam:Edhazardia aedis TSNM 41457 supercont1.54, whole genome shotgun sequence.
GUCAGUAUGGCCGAGUGGUUAAGGCGCUAGUCUAGAAAACUAGUGGAUUUAUCCUCGCAGGUUCAAAUCCUGCUGCUGACG